UAAAAAGCCCUAAAGGCACAAAGAUUUGGUCCUGAUCUUACUAUCAGCUUUUUCUAAACUUACACAUGCAAGUCUCAGCAUACCUGUGAGGAUGCCCUUAACUCUAAACCAGACUAAGGAGCUGGUAUCAGGCGCAAGACCUGCCCAAUACACCUAGUCCUACCACGCCCAUAAGGGAUUUCAGCAGUGAUAAAUAUUGUCUAUAAGCGACAGCUUGACCCAGUUAUAGAAAGUAGAGCUGGCCAACUCGGUGCCAGCCGCCGCGGCUAAACCGCAAGAGCUCAAGUUGAUAAGCAUCGGCGUUAAGCGUGGUUAAAGACAAACAAAUUAGAAUCAAACCCUCACUCAGCUGUGACAAGCUUGCUGCUCGGAGAACCAAAAACGAAAGUUAUUCUAAUCUACUUGAACCCACGACAGUUGGGAGACAAACUGGGAUUAGAUACCCCACUAUGCCCUACCGUAAAAUAUUAACUUACACCACCCACGCCUGGGUACUACGAGCCCAGCUUAAAACCCAAAGGACUUGACGGUGUCCCACCCAACUAGAGGAGCCUGUUCUAUAAUCGACAUCUCCCGAUUUACCCAACCCCAUUUCGCCACUCAGCCUGUAUACCUCCGUCGUAAACUUACCAUGUGAAUGUACUGAGUAAGUCCAAUGAUUAAACCACCAAUACGUCAGGUCAAGGUGCAGCUUAUGAUAGGGAAAGCAAUGGGCUACAGUCUCUAAGAUAGAACACACGAAAUGCUCCAUGAAAUUCAGCAUGAAGGCGGAUUUAGUAGUAAAAAGAAAAUAAUGUGUCCUUUUUAACAAGGCCUGGGACAUGUACACACCGCCCGUCACCCUUUUGAAUGGUCUACUCUACGUUUGAACUUUUCCCCCCCCCCCUUUUUUUUAGAAGAGGCAAGUCGUAACAUGGUAAGUGUACCGGAAGGUGCACUUGGAUUUAACAAAAUAUAGCUUAACUAAAGCCCCUCGCUUACACCGAAGAGAUAUCUGCUUGUACCAGAUUAUUUUGAGCCUAAAACUUAGCCUAAUACCAACCCCAUGAAAACCAUACCACAUUACUCACCAAUUAAAACAUUUUCUCAGUUCAGUAAAGGCGAUCAAAAAACUUAUUAGCGCUUUAUUGUUAGUACCGCAAGGGAAAAAUGAAAUAGCUCUGAAACAGCCUUAAAGCCAAACAUAGCAAAGACUACCCCUUGUACCUUUUGCAUCAUGGUUUAGCUAGUCUUUAUCAAGCAAAAAGAAAUAUCAGUUUGACCCCCCGAAACUAGACGAGCUACUUUAAAACAGCUUUUUAGAGCCAACCCAUCUCUGUCGCAAAAGAGUGGGAUGAUUUUUAAGUAGAGGUGAAAAGCCUACCGAGCCUAGAGAUAGCUGGUUACUUAGGAAGAGAAUUUUAGUUCAGCCUCAACUCUCUUGAUUACCUAAACAAACACCUUAGAUUUGAGAGCUAAUCAAAUAAGGCACAGCUUAUUUGAUAAUGGAUACAGCCUACAAAAAAGGGUAAGACUUUCAUAUAUUGGAUAAGUGGGCCUAAAAGCAGCCACCUUUAAGAAAGCGUUAAAGCUCCGCCACCUCCUUCACAUAAUACCUUAGUUUUUCUUAAACCCUUUACCACUACUAAGUAAUUUUAUAAUACUAUAAAAACUCUUAUGCUAAAACUAGUAACAAGAAAUUGAAUUUCUCCCAAAUAUAAGCAUAAGCCAAAAUGGACAAACCAUUGGUAAUUAACGUUAAUGGGCCCAUUAUAACAACACUCUCAAGAAAACAUUAUAACCGCACACGUUAACCUGACACAAGCAUAUUUCAGGAAAGAUUAAAAGAAAGGGAAGGAACUCGGCAAAUUUUAGCCCCGCCUGUUUACCAAAAACAUCGCCUCUUGACUAACAUAAGAGGUCCAGCCUGCCCAGUGAAAAACUUAAACGGCCGCGGUACCCUGACCGUGCAAAGGUAGCAUAAUCAUUUGUUCUUUAAAUAAGGACCUGUAUCAACGGCAUCACGAGGGUUAUACUGUCUCCCCUCUCUAAUCAGUGAAACUGACUUCCCCGUGAAGAGGCGGGGAUAAAAAUACAAGACGAGAAGACCCCAUGGAGCUUUAAACCCAAUAAUAACCUUUAUUUAUCAACUCCUACAAAAAUAUAAAGCCUUAUAUAUUGGUUUUAGGUUGGGGUGACCACGGAGUAAAACUUAACCUCCUUGACGAAUAGAUAUAAUCCUAAUCUAAGAGCCACUGCUCUAAGAAUCAAAAAUUUGACGUAACAUGAUCCGAUAAUCGAUCAACGAACCAAGUUACCCUGGGGAUAACAGCGCAAUCCAUUUCAAGAGCUCCUAUCGACAAAUGGGUUUACGACCUCGAUGUUGGAUCAGGGUAUCCCAG
rnacentral:ncRNA from 1 species